rnacentral:rRNA from 1 species
GGGAGAACACAGGGAUUGCCUUAGUAACGGCGAGUGAAGCGGCAACAGCUCAAAUUUGAAAGCUGGCUCCUUUGGAGUCCGCGUUGUAAUUUGUAGAGGAUGAUUCGGCAAGGGCUCCCGCCUAAGUCUCCUGGAACGGAGCGUCAUAGAGGGUGAGAAUCCCGUAUGCGGUGGGCUGCCUAAGCCAUGUGAAUCUCCUUCGACGAGUCGAGUUGUUUGGGAAUGCAGCUCUAAAUGGGAGGUAAAUUUCUUCUAAAGCUAAAUACCGGCCAGAGACCGAUAGCGCACAAGUAGAGUGAUCGAAAGAUGAAAAGCACUUUGGAAAGAGAGUUAAAAAGUACGUGAAAUUGUUGAAAGGGAAGCGCUUGCAGCCAGACUUGUCCGCAGUUGCUCAGCCGGUCUCCUGACCGGUGUACUCUUCUGCGGCCAGGCCAGCAUCAGUUCGGGCGGUCGGAUAAAGACCUCGGGAAUGUAGCUCCUCUCGGGGAGUGUUAUAGCCCGGGGUGGAAUGCGGCCAGCCUGGACUGAGGAUCUCGCUUCGGCUAGGAUGCUGGCGUAAUGGCUGUAAGCGGCCCGUCUUGAAACACGGACCAAGGAGUCUAACAUCUAUGCGAGUGUUUGGGUGUCAAACCCAUGCGCGUAAUGAAAGUGAACGGAGGUGGGAACCCUCACGGGUGCACCAUCGACCGAUCCUGAUGUCUUCGGAUGGAUUUGAGUAAGAGCAUAGCUGUUGGGACCCGAAAGAUGGUGAACUAUGCCUGAAUAGGGUGAAGCCAGAGGAAACUCUGGUGGAGCUUCGCAGCGGUUCUGACGUGCAAAUCGAUCGUCAAAUUUGGGUAUAGGGGCGAAAGACUAAUCGAACCAUCUAGUAGCUGGUCCUGCCGAGUU